GCAUAUCAAUAAGCGGAGGAAAAGAAAAUAACAAUGAUUCCCCUAGUAACUGCGAGUGAAGAGGGACAAGCUCAAAUUUUAAAUCUAUCGGGUUUUACCCGAUCGAGUUGUAAUUUGAAGAAGCGUUUUCUGCGUUUUUGGUCAGCCCAAGUCCUAUUGAAUGAGGCAUCAUGGAGGGUGAUAAUCCCGUCCGGUUGAUCAUUUGCGUUUUACGAUACGCUUUCUAAGAGUCAAGUUGUUUGGGAUUGCAGCUUAAAAUGGGAGGUAAAUUUCUCCUAAGGCUAAAUAACGGCGAGAGACCGAUAGCGAACAAGUACCGUGAGGGAAAGAUGAAAAGAACUUUGAAAAGAGAGUUAAACAGUACGUGAAAUUGUUGAAAGGGAAACGAUUGAAGCCAGUCGUACCUUCGGGUAAUCAGCCUUUCGGGUGCGAUUCUGUGGAGUGUGAUGAGCUUAACACCUUCAUGCUUUGCGUAUUUGUGCUCUUGGGUGUACUUGCCCGUGUGGUUGGUUAACAUCAAUUUUGGUUAUCAUAAAAUGACUGGAGGAAUGUAGCUUCGAUCUCGUAUUGAAGUGUUUAUAGCCUUCGGUAGAUGUGAUGAACGAGAUUGAGGAUUGCAACGGAUAUCCUUCGGGGCUACCUGUCUGGUCUCUGAUCGUUGCUCUGGUGCUGAAAGCUUGCUUACAGUUAUCAAAGUUGAUGGUCAAUAGGUUAGAACGGGUUAAAUUCGUUAAGGAUGUUGACGUAAUGGCUUUAAACGACCCGUCUUGAAACACGGACCAAGGAGUCUAACAUAUAUGCGAGUGUUAGGGUGAUUAAACCCUUACGCGUAAUGAAAGUAAUUUUGGUGGGAACACUUUUGUGCACCAUCGACCGAUCAGGAUAUUUUUUGAUAGAUUUGAGUAAGAGCA
rnacentral:rRNA from 1 species